CCUACGGGUGGCAGCAGUGGGGGAUAUUGCACAAUGGGGGAAACACUGAUGCAGCGACGCAGCGUGGACGAUGAAGUCUCUAGGUAUUUAAAGCUCUAUCAGCAGGGAGGUAGAAAUGACGGUACCUGAGUAAGAAGCACCGGCUAAAUACGUGCCAGCAGCCGCGGUAAUACGUAUGGUGCAAGUGUUAUCCGGAUUUACGGGGUGUAAAGGGAGCGCAGGCGGCACGGCAAGCCUGAUGUGAAAGCCCGCGGCCCAACCGCGGGACUGCAGUGGGAACUACCGGGCUGGAGUGCCGGAGAGGUAGGCGGAAGUCCUAGUGUAGCGGUGAAAUGCGUAGAUAUUAGGAAGAACACCAGUGGCGAAGGCGGCCUACUGGACGGUGACUGACGCUGAGGCUCGAAAGCGUGGGGAGCAAACAGGAUUAGAUACCCUAGUAGUC
rnacentral:rRNA from 1 species